AUCACGCAGGCGUGUCCCGGGAAGGCACGGCAAGCCCUGCAGUGUACAUCUCGUGUAGUGGGGACCCAGCGAGGGGAGGGGGCUUGCCAAAGACUGGCCGAGGAGCCCUUGAACCUUAACCAACCAGCCCCUCUCUGGCUCGUUCCCCUGCACAGGCUUGUGGGCAUGGGCGAUAUUCAAAAUAUGGCACAGGUGGCAAUGGCCAUUCCAGUGGGACCCUGGAGGGCCUGCUGGGCCAUGUGUAACCCUUUAGUUGCUGGAUCCUGGGAAGAGUCAGGGGAGCGACGGGGCAACAACUAUCCCCCCCCCCAAUGGAAAGAUGUCAGCAUCUGAACAGCUGGCACAGCCCUACUGGUACACGCCGGCUCUAACGUGGCCUGUUAUGGUCACCCCAAGAUGGGCCUGGACACCCUUGCGGGUGACAUGGCAUUUAGAGAUAAUUAUUAAUACGCUAACCCUACGACCCUGAGAUUCUGCUCCUGGAUUUAAAUAUCAGUGAAGUUCUCAGCAUGCCCACGGGGACAGGUGUGAGGGCACUCAUCCCGAUGUUGGGUGGGGGCAGUGGGAGGCAACCCAGGGCCGCUUUGUGGGGGAGCGGACAGGAAGUCUUGGGUGACACACACUGUGGCGGUCCUGGCAGCUGUUAGGGCAACAGACGAGACAAGCGCACGUGACAGUCAUGGUGGAUCUUUAGAACACGAAAUGAAAGGCGAGAGAAGCCGCUGGGAAUCCGAAGCACAAUACCAUUUAUGCGAACUGAAAGCGCGUUCAGACAGCGGGUACCUGAAUCUAUACAUGAGCUGAAAUUUAUAGAGUUGUACACCAAGAAAAGAGUCGAUGUUACUGUACGAUAAUUAAAAUGAGACAAAAUAAGACAAGAGGCCACUUCCAGAGGGCUCGGAGUCUAGAAGGGGAGACACAUUACAAAAAUGCAUUUACACAAAACCAUGCUGUUUGCAAGACUCAUGCAGACCAAGGAUCUCUUGCCUCUCCAGAAGCGCCCGGGCCAGUGCAGACGACAGACUGAAAACCUCACUCCAGCGCCAUCAGGGUUGGACACGCAUGUCAGGUACUCUGGGACCACAGGGGAGGGAACAAUGUAUUCUGCCAGGGAAAAUCCAGAAAGCUGUCCCUGAAAAGAGAUGAUAUGUAAUUUGAGUCUUAGUGCCUAGAAGAGUUCAUGGCAGAAUACAAACUCCCCACCAGAGAACAGGCGAUGCUUAACCAAGGGGAAUGAACUGGAAUGGUGGGGCUGCAGGUGCCAAGGGAGGAGAUGUGGUUGGCCAGGGCCUUUCAGGCUUGGGCGCUUCUUGCCUUAUCAGGUACUGGCGGCUGGGCUCCAGCAGCCCCAGCUGGGAUUGCAACUUCAGGCUAUGUCCCCAUCCCGAGAGGCCUGGCCUGGUUCCCCUGUGCCCUCCUCCCAUCUGCCUGGGAGCUUGCGGGUCUCCUGUCCUGGACCCCUCCCUUUCACUCAUCCUACCUCCACUCCCCAUCCACCACCUGGCCUGCCUCCUUUACCUGCAAAUCACUUACUGAAUUUGCCUUCUCCUCUCCCAUCCCGGCAGCACAUGGGCUGAGCCCGCCCUGGCCAGCCCUUCCCUGACCUAUCAUGGCCUGUGGUGUCUCUCCCCCUCCCCAGUCCCCUCCAUCCUGAAGCCAGAGGGAGUUUCCUGAAGCCAGGUCUUCUCUGCUGCCCUUCUUGCGUAGUUCCUUGUGGCCCUCAGCGUGGACAUGGACCCAGCUCCUCCUCUCCGCCCCUCGGCUUGGUCUCUCUCGGUUCCUACCACAUUCCUUACCUUCCGACAGCACGAGACCUCCUGAGCUCUGCCCUUCCUACCUCUGUGCUUUGCUCACAGUGCCGCAUCUUUUGGGAUUCCUCUCCACCUCCCCUCCUACUUCCCCCAGCUAACUCCUACGCACUCCUCAAAACCCAGACCUCACCGCCUCCUGGAAGCUUCGCUGACCCAAGGCUGCGUGACGUGCUUCCUUGGUGCUCAAACAGCCCCCAAACACCCCCUAUUCUAGCAUGGCUCACACCGAAUUAAAACUGUCUCUUUCGUCCUCUGAUAGCGGGUUUGUGGUUAAAAUAGGUGGGCUUCAGAUCCAGGCUGCCCGAGUUCACAUCCUGGUCCCACUUUAUUGUGCCCUUGGACUAGUUAUCUGAUCUUUCUUUGCCUUGGGUUUCUCAUCUGUAAAAUGGGAAUAAAAGGAGUAACUACCAGAAAGAUAAAAACAAUCAAAAAGCCCCAAACCAAAACAGUGCCUACCUCACGGGUUAGUCGGGGGAAUGAAGGGAGCAGUGUGCCCAAGGCCUUGGCACAGUGCCCGGCACACAGUACCUGCUCAAUAAAUGUUGCCUGUUCCUGUCCAUCUUCCCACCAACCCGUAAGUUCCUGGAAAUCAAGACAGAGUUUGACAUCUUCGGGUGCCCAGCAGCUCCCUGAGGUCUGCCUGCUGAGUGGGCAUCUGCCGGAAAGCCAGCUACUGGCAUGCUUCGAGACUCACAUAGGUGCCCACCAUUGCCAGUUUUGAGCCCCUGGUCUCUGAAGUGACUCUCAGAUUGGAGUUGAUCCACGCUUUUGACCUGGAGCCUGGAGGAGACAGUGGUGGUGGUGAAGGGGCCGCCGCUAGCCAGGUCUUCCUCCCUGGCCUCCUGGCCGGGCUCCAGCCCCCCACUCAAGCCAUCACCUCUGGGAGAUAGCACACGGGGCAGAGGACAGGGUCUCCCACACUAGGAGCUAUCCCUGGCCAGACUGCCCUGGGUCCCACAGAGUGGCCCUCUUUGGUGCCACGCCCCAUGCCAGGCUCCCAGAUGAGCUUCAGCUUUUCCCAAUGUGCCCAACUAGGCUGUCCUGCCUGGGCGGGCCUUGGCCUCAUUAAGAAAGCAGUUGUCCUUGGCAGCUUCCCUGAUCGGCAGGGAAAGACGAUUGGUGACAUUAACAGACACAAAACGUUUAUACUGUGAGCUCCUUGCUGGUCUGUGCGGGUGCCCUGGACAGAGGCUGGCGGGAGCCUUGCGGAGAGCGGAAGGGCGAGGUGAGAGGGAGCGGGAGGAGGAGAGGGAGCUGGUGAGAAAAAGCGAAAUUUAAAGUGGAUGAAUUAUUUACUGCAGGAAACAAUCCCGGACUCACUCGCUCUCACUCAGAACAUCCCAAACUGUAAUCUGUGGCAUUUUUCACAUCUCCCCAGCGUGCUGAGUGAUUUUCUUUACGAGUGGAAACCAGAGGCCAGGGUAAUCUUGUCGGAGAUUGGCUUAGUAUCGAUCAGGUGCGUCUUCCCGGGCUCCAGGCUUCCGCCCACGCUUGGCACGGCCCCGGCUUGGACGAUGCCCCAAGGCCGGCCUGGGCUGGGGUCAGCCCCAGGUGGGAGCGGACGAGGAGGUCAUGACCCUGCUGAGCACCGGAGCCACCAGGAUGGGCCUCUUUGCCGAGAAUGAGCUGAAAGCCACUUUCUCAGAGUCACCUCGCCCCUGUGUGGUCACUAAAUGAGCCCUGCCAUUUUGCCACAUGGUUUAGAUGCAUCAUGUCACUAUCACUCACAAGAAUCCUAAGCCCUGGGGACUGAGAGGCUCAGAGAGGUGACAUGGCUUGCCUGGAGUAACACAACUUCUGAGUUUUGAGAAUUGCUUAUGAGCCUGAGGGAUCCUCCAGCUCUCUUGGGGGAAUGUUCAGCAGAGUUCAGACACUGAGCCCUGGGCCUGGAGUGCAACCUUGGGGAACUCCUUGCCGGGGAACCCGGACAUCUGUGAGAAAAGAGAAGCAGCGGCACGAAAGCUGCACCUACGUCCCCAUCUGUCCACCCUUCAUCCGUCUCUCCGUUCAUCUGUGCACCCGUCCAUCCCUCCGUCUGACAAGCCUUCCCUGAGCACCUACUAUGUGCUGGGCCCGUGCUGUUCACAGGGGCUGGAGGUGUGAGUAACAUCUCUAAUUGGACGCCCACUUGUGCCCGUAUGAACUGAACAUCUCUGGAGGGAGACACCGGAUGCUGGGGACCAUGACUGUCCCUGUGGAGGGAAACCGGGCACCCAGAGACAUGGGUAUUUACUCGUUUUGAGUGUUUCGAAUUCUGUGUCAUGUAUGUGCGCU